rnacentral:rRNA from 1 species
AGAACGAACGCUGGCGGCAUGCCUAACACAUGCAAGUCGAACGAGACCUUCGGGUCUAGUGGCGCACGGGUGCGUAACGCGUGGGAAUCUGCCCUUGGGUACGGAAUAACAGCGAGAAAUUGCUGCUAAUACCGUAUAAUGACUUCGGUCCAAAGAUUUAUCGCCCAGGGAUGAGCCCGCGUAGGAUUAGCUUGUUGGUGAGGUAAAAGCUCACCAAGGCGACGAUCCUUAGCUGGUCUGAGAGGAUGAUCAGCCACACUGGGACUGAGACACGGCCCAGACUCCGUACGGGAGCAGCAGGUGGGAUAGUUGGACAAUGGGCAAAGCCUGAUCCAGCAAUGCCGCGUGGAGUGAGUGGAAGGUACCGUUAGGGUUAGUAACGUCUUACGUUUUACCCGGAUGAAUAAGUGACGAGGUACCGGAAGUAACUAA